AGCGAACGCUGGCGGCAGGCUUAAACACAUGCAAGUCGAGCGGGCGUAGCAAUACGUCAGCGGCAGACGGGUGAGUAACGCGUGGGAACAUACCUUUGGUCGAACAACACAGGGAAACUUGUGCUAAUACCGGAUAAGCCCUUAACGGGGAAAGAUUUAUCGACCGAAAAGAUUGGCCCGCGUCUGAUUAGCUAGUUGGUGAGGUAACGCUCACCAAGGCGACGAUCAGUAGCNGGUCUGAGAGGAUGAUCAGCCACAUUGGGACUGAGACACGGCCCAAACUCCUACGGGAGGCAGCAGUGGGGAAUAUUGGACAAUGGGCGCAAGCCUGAUGGUGCGACGCCGCGUGAGGGAUGGAGGCCUU
rnacentral:rRNA from 1 species